rnacentral:rRNA from 1 species
AGUGAACGCUGGCGGCGUGCCUAAUACAUGCAAGUCGAACGGAGCGGCGCACGGGUGAGUAAUAAAUAGCUAAUCUGUCCCUUGCUGGAGGACAACAGUUAGUAAUGACUGCUAAUACUCCAUAGCAAGGGAUGAGACUACAUCGUAUCAGCUAGCCGGUGGGGUAACGGCCGACCGAGGGUAUGACGCGUCACUGGUUUGCGAGGAUGAUCAGUCACAUUCGAACUGAGGCACGGUCCAAACUCCUACGAGAGGCGGCAGUAGGGAAUAGUGCGCAAUGGGGGAAACCCUGACGCGGCAUCGCCGCGUAGAGGAUGACACUUUUCGAGGCGUAAACUCCUUUUGUUAGGGAAGCGGUACCUGACGAAUAAGCACCGGCUAACUCCGUGCCAGCAGCCGCGGUAAUUC